UGCAGAAUCCCGUGAACCAUCGAGUCUUUGAACGCAAGUUGCGCCUGAAACCAUUAGGUUGAGGGCACGCCUGCCUGGGUGUC
rnacentral:rRNA from 1 species